GUCUGUUCUGUUCUGUUCUGUUCUGUUCCUCUCUGUUCUGUUCUGUUCUCUUUCUGUUCUGUUCUGUUCUGUUCUGUUCUGUUCUCUCUGUUCUGUUCUGUUCUGUUCCUCUCUGUUCUGUUCUGUUCUCUUUCUGUUCUGUUCUGUUCUGUUCUGUUCUGUUCUCUCUCUGUUCUGUUCUCUCCGUUCUGUUCUGUUCUGUUCUGUUCUAUUCUGUUCUGUUCUGUUCUCUCUGUUCUGUUCUGUUCUGUUCUGUUCUCUCUGUGCUUUCUGUUCUGUUCUCUCUGUUCUGUUCUGUUCUGUUCUCUCUGUUCUGUUCUGUUCUGUUCUGUUCUCUCUGUUCUGUUCUGUUCUGUUCUGUUCUCUCUGUUCUGUUCAGUUCUGAUCUGUUCUGUUCUCUCUGUUUUGUUCUGUUCUCUCUCUGUUCUGUUCUGUUCUCUCUGUUCUGUUCUGUUCUGUUCUCUCUGUUCUGUUCUGUUCUGUUCUCUCUGUUCUGUUCUGUUCUGUUCUGUUCUCUUUCUGUUCUGUUCUGUUCUAAUCUGUUCUGUUCUGUUCUGUUCUGUUCUAUUCUGUUCUGUUCUGUUCUGUUCUCUCUGUUCAGUUCUGUUCUGUUCCUCUCUGUUCUGUUCUGUUCUGUUCUGUUCUCUCUGUUCUGUUCUGUUCUGUUCUGUUCUGUUCUGUUCUGUUCUGUUCUGCUCUGUUCUGUUCUGUUCUGUUCUUCUCUGUUCUGUUCUGCUCUGUUCUGUUCUGUUCUGUUCUGUUCUGUUCUCUCUGUUCUGUUCUGUUCUGUUCCUCUCUGUUCUGUUCUGUUCUGUUCUGUUCUGUUCUGUUCUGGUCUGUUCUGUUCUGUUCUCUCUGUUCUGUUCUGUUCUGUUCUGUUCUCUCUGUUCUGUUCUGUUCUGUUCUGUUCUCUCUGUUCUGUUCUGUUCUGUUCUGUUCUCUCUCUGUUCUGUUCUGUUCUCUCUGUUCUGUUCUGUUCUCUCUGUUCUCUCUGUUCUGUUCUGUUCUCUCUGUUCUCUCUGUUCUGUUCUGUUCGUUCUGUUCUGUUCUGUUCUGUUCUGGUCUGUUCUGUUCUGUUCUAGUCUGUUCUGUUCCUCUCUGUUCUAUUCUGUUCUGUUCUGUUCUGUUCUGUUCUCUCUGUUCUGUUCUGCUCUGUUCUGUUCUGUUCUGUUCUGUUCUCUCUGUUCUGUUCUCUCUGUUCUGUUCUGUUCUGUUCUGUUCUCUCUGUUCUGUUCUGUUCUGUUCUGUUCUCUCUGUUCUGUUCUGUUCUGUUCUCUCUGUUCUGUUCUGUUCUGUUCUGUUCUGUUCUCUUUCUGUUCUAUUCUGUUCUGUUCUGUUCUGUUCUCUCUCUGUUCUGUGCUGUUCUAUUCUGUUCUGUUCUGUUCUGUUCUGUUCUGUUCUGUUCGGUUCUCUCUGUUCUGUUCUGUUCUGUUCUCUCUGUUCUGUUCUGUUCUGUUCUGUUCUCUCUCUGUUCUGUGCUGUUCUAUUCUGUUCUGCUCUGUUCUGUUCUGUUCUGUUCGGUUCUCUCUGUUCUGUUCUGUUCUGUUCUGUUCUCUCUGUUCUGUUCUGUUCUGUUCUGUUCUCUCUGUUCUGUUCAGUUCUCUCUGUUCUGUUCUGUUCUGUUCUGUUCUCUCUCUGAUCUGUUCUGUUCUCUCUGUUCUGUUCUGUUCUCUCUGUUCUGUUCUGUUCUGUUCUGUUCUCUCUGAUCUGUUCUGUUCUGUUCUCUCUGUUCUGUUCUGUUCUGUUCUGUUCUCUCUGUUCUGUUCUGUUCUGUUCUGUUCUGUUCAGUUCUCUCUGUUCUGUUCUGUUCUGUUCUCUUUCUGUUCUGUUAUAUUCUGUUCUGUUCUGUUCUGUUCUCUCUCUGUUCUGUGCUGUUCUGUUCUCUUCUGUUCUGUUCUGUUCUGGUCUGUUCUUUCUGUUCUGUUCUGUUCUGUUCUCUCUGUUCUGUUCUGUUCUGUUCUGUUCUCUCUGAUCUGUUCUGUUCUGUUCUCUCUGUUCUGUUCUGUUCUGUUCUGUUCUGUUCUGUUCUGUUCUGUUCUGUUAUGUUCUGUUCUCUUUCUGUUCUGUUAUAUUCUGUUCUGUUCUGUUCUCUCUCUGUUCUGUGCUGUUCUGUUCUGUUCUCUUCUGUUCUGUUCUGUUCUCUCUGUUCUGUUUUCUCUGUUCUGUUCUGUUCUGUUCUGUUCUGUUCUGUUCUGUUCUGUUCUGUUCUCUGUUCUGCUCUGUUCUGUUCUGUUCUGUUCUCUCUGUUCUGUUCUGUUCUGUUUUGUUCUCUCUGUUCUGUUCUGUUCUGCUCUGUUCUGUUCUGUUCUCUCUGUUCUGUUCUGUUCUGUUCUGUUCUGUUCUGUUCUGUUCUGUUCUCCCUGUGGACAGAGAGGGGGAGAAUGUGUGAGUGUGUGUGUGUGUGUGUGUGUUUGUGUGUGUGUGUGUGUGUGUGUGUGUGUGUGUGUGAGAGAGAGAGAGAGAGACAUUUCUUUUUUAAAACAUUCAGUUAAC
ensembl:lncRNA